AAACCUCCUCUGAAAAAUGACGGAGUCCUUGAGGAUGACAACUGAAAAGGGGGCGGGGCUAGGUGAGGCGAUCGGUAGGGGUCGCUGUGGCAAAGGCGACUCCGAGGGACCUCAAUGGGAGAAGUCCUCCGGCGGAGGCUUAGAGGCAGGCACCAUAGAGACGAAGCGGCCGGAAGGGUUGCGAAUAGAAACCGGAAGUCGACAGGGUUCCGAAUAGAAACCCGAAGUCGACAGGGCUGCCAAGCCAAGAAGCCUCCAGAGAGCAUCCGGUUGAUAAGCAGCAGCAGCAGCAGCAGAGAGAGGCUUCUGCUUCGUAUCCACAGUUCUGCUGUUACAAAAUUGUGUAAGAUGAUCUGACUUCUCCAGAUCCUUUGAAAAACAAUCCUAUGUGAGUCGUCUCAAAGCAGCCUGAUACUUUGGGUUACAAGACGACUUUGACUGAACCAAUGAGUACACUGCCUAAAUCAAAUAAAUCUGAUUAUUUUGUGAGUAAUACAAGCCAGGAAACAGGCAGACAUGAAAUACCAGAGAGCAGGAUGUGUACCACAGGUAGGUAGGACAGGUUUUAAGGCAAGCAUGUAUGUGUCGUUUUAUGCUAAACAUGCACCAAAAAUGAAAAUAUUCCAUAGAAAUCUAUGGGAGAGGCUUGGUUUUAUUUUAUGUUUUCGGAAGCUGUUUUAAGGAAGUUCACAUACCUCAGUUGCACAGUAUUACUACUCAGGUUGCAUCUACACUGUAGAAAUAAUGCAGUUUGAUACCACUU